rnacentral:misc_RNA from 1 species
UGACAAAUCCGGAGAUAUCGGUUCAAACGUACAAUGUGGUUUUAUCAAUUUACACGACAUUGUUAUGAUCUGUGAACCGAAACAAAGGGCUAUGUUUUCCCUAAGCCCUCUAUCGCAGCGCACGCAAACAACUAGCGAGGUUCGCCAGGGAUUUUCAAAAUAAAAUUUCUCGCGAGAUCUCAUCUUUACUAUUCAACAUGGCGCCGAAGCGUAAACUUUCCAUGCCAACAGCUCCAAUUAGAAUCGACAAACGCCGUAAAAGACCUUCGACUGUUCGUAAAAUGACGAGGGCACAAGUUCAGGAAGUUCGUGGUAAGCUGGAAGAAAUUGAAAGAACUGAACUUGUUGCAAACGUCAACGAGGCAGUGGAAAGUGAAUUGCACAUGGAGAUUGGCCACCGAAAAUUGUUCCUGCAAAGCCUUCACAGCAACGGAUUCUUUGCUGUGCUCGUUGGAAAUUUGUUUACCCUGUUCAUGGAAUUGUAUGGAAGCUCAUUUUCUAACAGGCCUAUAGACAGCUACGUGGCGUUUCAGUUGGUGUGGCUGAAUACGGUAUCGUACGCGUUUAGCGAUAUCGAUGUCAUCAAGUUAGGGCCCGGUGCCGGCAGUACUAGUACUAGUACCAGUGACACGGACGCGAUGCAUAAAUCUCUCAUGCGCGAACAGUGGCAAAGGGCCGUGGCGUCGUUUCCAGUGGCUGAUAGCACCAGUGACGACAGUACUAACGACGUUAGACAAGUUGGACACGCUAUCGCUUCAGCAGUCUUCCGCAAGGCCAGCGAAUGGUUGAUAAAAAUCAAGUCGUCUACAGAGGAAUCGCUCGCUACAGUCGAGUCUCUCCAUGAGGAGUCAGAGUACGCGCUUCUCGCUAUAGCUGGUGGCUGUGUGAACCUAGUAAAGCGCGUAGUGACAAGAAGACAGCUUUCUAAGUCAGCAAGGCAGAGAAGGGAAGGCAAUGCAUUGCUGAUACUGAUAACAACCUGUGUCCGUACAACAGAGCAGAAACGAAGAGUUCCCAUGCCAACACCACUAAGAAUACGUGACAGGGGUGGCUUGCUCGUUCCGCAGCGCGUAUUUUUACUGUGGCUGAGAAACCUGGACCGCGCAAUUAGAACAAUCGCGUCGGAAAGCGGAAUCGCACUCUACGGGAAGAAUAUUAUAAAGAUCACCUCUCAACAAGUGAAUGCCAUGGAUCACCUUCGUGACAUAUUUGGAGAGGCUGCGCGUUAUGCAUGCACCAUGGCCAAGUGCAACGCAACUAACUCAACCAUUAGCACUCUUCACCGCAUGUGGCAAACAAAGAUAGUCAACGCCCGAGUGAACGAGUGCAUGAUUUCUCAUCAGUUGGGUGUAGCGGAACAGCAGGGAAACCCGAUGAUGAAAGGAGGCUUGACCUUGCGCGAUGAACUUUACUGCUUGGCUAAAAAGCAACUGUAAACUUUCUGCAUGGCAUUUACAAUAGGAUCUACUAAUAGAACCCGAAAUUACAGUUUAUGAUGCAUGAUAUCGGUCAACGUGUUUAUUCAACCAUCAUAGUGAUGGAAUAACGGUACGUCUCGGUAUCCCUCUAUACUAGGGUGUUUUGUCUCAUCUUGUAUAAUAAUACUUUUUCUAGAUGUCUGGUAGCUUAUAGAUGUGAGUUUACCACCUGUGUAAGCUUUAAGCCUUGAGAAAAGACUUUCCACUGCGCUGCCGUUGAUGCGUAGCGGGGAAAUGAAAUGUUUAUCGCCAUGCCUACUCAAGAAAUCAGCACAGACACCCUGGAAUCCAGACACUGUAAUUCUGAGCAAAUCCCACGUCUGCCAUGCCAGAAAUCGUCUCUCUCUUGGGGAGUUAGGUUGGAAGUCGCUCAUGUCUGAAGGUAGCAAUUAAGAAUUAGGUUAAUUAUACGUAAAGAGAUUACAGUUCCAGUAUACAUCAUUACCUUCAUACAGAGGUGAUAUGCACACCUGUAAAGCUUUUUCAUUAACAGAAUUUAAUACGUUACACUUGCUUUGUAUGGAACAUUAGUUGCAUGCAUUACCUUCCAAUUCUUUAGCCCAGUUUUCGAAGUAGCGAUAUCCCUCCAAGAUGUUGUGCAGAACGUGUUGAUUUUGAGCAGUCACUCUGUGAUGUGACAAUAAACCGCGCUCAAACAUUAGGUUGCAUGCUGCCAAAUAGCCAUGCGUAGCCAUCACGGAUUUGCUCUCGCGAGGUAUGGCCGUCGGCUCGUCUGGUUGCGCAUAGCUCUCCAACUCCAUAAGCACAUGUUCUUGCUGUAAAUCAAUUUUUGCAGAUCAGGAUAUAAGUCAUUAGAUUGAUUUAAAAUGUAUUCGCACUGCACCGCAUGAAUGCGAACGACGUGUAAGAGAUGUGCUGGGAUACACAAAGUGCUUGCAUAGUAAUGUUUACUGUUACAAUAUAAUAUUUAACACUAUACGGCCAAACUAAAAAAAAGGUGAUUCCGGUCGACCGACCGUCCCUCGAUUAUUAAGGCCGACCCUAAAAUUUUUCCAUCAAAAAAAUAAAAAAUUUAUAGAAUUUUUUUGUAAUUUGAAAUCUGACAGACAAAACAUAAGAUUUUUUACUACAAACACGUUCUGGACUUGCUUACUAACUUACCCCUACCUAUAAACGACUUUAUAGCAUGCAUUAGAGGGAUAUUAAGAACC